rnacentral:rRNA from 1 species
CCUACGGGUGGCAGCAGUGGGGAAUAUUGCACAAUGGGCGGACCCCUGAUGCAGCGACGCCGCGUGAGCGAUGAAGUAUUUCGGUAUGUAAAGCUCUAUCAGCAGGGAAGAAAAUGACGGUACCUGAAUAAGAAGCACCGGCUAACUACGUGACCACAGCCGCGGUAAUACGUAGGGGGCAAGCGGUAUCCGGAUUUACUGGGUGUAAUGGGAGCGUAGACGGUCCUGCAAGCCAGAUGUGAAAGCCCGGGGCCCAACCCCGGGAGUGCAUUUGGAACUGUAAGGCGAGAGUGUCGGUGAGGCGGGCGGAAUUCCUAGUGUAGCGGUGAAAUGCGUAGAUAUUAGGAGGAACACCAGUGGCGAAGGCGGCCUGCUGGACGAUGACUGACGUUGAGGCUCGAAAGCGUGGGGAGCAAACAGGAUUAGAUACCCCAGUAGUC